AUGAUCCUACUCUUUAUUAUGAAGGGGUAUGGAGAGAUCUCCUCCGUUGAUGUGUUUAAGGGGCUUGUACCGAAGCGAAAGUGGUCAUUGAAAUUUCACCUAGCCACAAUCAACAAAAAAGUGGACGGGCUGGAUACCCUAUCAGCUCCUUUCACUAACGCUGAAAUAGACGAGGUGGUCAAAUCUAUGCCGUCGGAUCGUGCCCCCAGACAUGAUGGCUUUAAUGGAGGAUUCAUCAAAACUUGUUGGCACAUUAUAAAGAAGGACUUUUACAAGCUUUGUGAUGACUUCUACCAUGGUAAUCUUGACCUCACAAGCAUCAACUCCGGGUUCAUUACCCUGAUCCCAAAAGCCAGCUCGCCAGAAACGGCCAAUGACUUCCGUCCGAUCACGCUCCUGAAUUGUUGCUUGAAAAUCAUCACCAAAGUUCUCGCGAACAGGAUCCAAAAGAUGAUACUGACCAUAAUCCAUAAGAACCAAUACGGGUUCAUACGUACC
rnacentral:rRNA from 1 species